UACGGGGGGGGCAAGCGUUGUUCGGAAUUACUGGGCGUAAAGGGCUCGUAGGCGGCCAACUAAGUCGGAUGUGAAAUCCCCAAGCUUAACUUGGGAACUGCAUCCGAUACUGGAUGGCUUGAAUCCGGGAGAGGGAUGCAGAAUUCAGGUGUAGCGGUGAAAUGCGUAGAUAUCUGGAGGAAUACCGGUGGCGAAGGCGGCAUCCUGGACCGGCAUUGACGCUGAGGAGCGAAAGCUAGGGGGAGCAAACGGGGAUUAAGAAAACCCUAGU
rnacentral:rRNA from 1 species